CAUGCAGUCGAACGAUGAAGGAGUGCUUGCACUCUGGAUUAGUGGCGAACGGGUGAGUAACACGUGAGCAACCUGCCCCUCACUCUGGGAUAAGCGCUGGAAACGGCGUCUAAUACUGGAUACGAGACGCAACCGCAUGGUUAGCGUCUGGAAAGAUUUUUUGGUGGGGGAUGGGCUCGCGGCCUAUCAGCUUGUUGGUGAGGUAAUGGCUCACCAAGGCGUCGACGGGUAGCCGGCCUGAGAGGGUGACCGGCCACACUGGGACUGAGACACGGCCCAGACUCCUACGGGAGGCAGCAGUGGGGAAUAUUGCACAAUGGGCGGAAGCCUGAUGCAGCAACGCCGCGUGAGGGAUGACGGCCUUCGGGUUGUAAACCUCUUUUAGCAGGGAAGAAGCGAGAGUGACGGUACCUGCAGAAAAAGCACCGGCUAACUACGUGCCAGCAGCCGCGGUAAUACGUAGGGUGCAAGCGUUAUCCGGAAUUAUUGGGCGUAAAGAGCUCGUAGGCGGUUUGUCGCGUCUGCUGUGAAAUCYSGAGGCUCAACCUCGGGCCUGCAGUGGSUACGGGCAGACUAGAGUGCGGUAGGGGAGAUUGGAAUUCCUGGUGUAGCGGUGGAAUGCSCAGAUAUCAGGAGGAACACCGAUGGCGAAGGCAGAUCUGUGGGSCGUAACUGACGCUGAGGAGUGAAAGGGUGGGGAGCAAACAGGCUUAGAUACCCUGGUAGUCCACCCCGUAAACGUUGGGAUCUAGUUGUGGGGUCCUUUCCACGGAUUCCGUGACGCAGCUAACGCAUUAAGUUCCCCGCCUGGGGAGUACGGCCGCAAGGCUAAAACUCAAAGGAAUUGACGGGGACCCGCACAAGCGGCGGAGCAUGCGGAUUAAUUCGAUGCAACGCGAAGAACCUUACCAAGGCUUGACAUACACCAGAACACCGUAGAAAUACGGGACUCUUUGGACACUGGUGAACAGGUGGUGCAUGGUUGUCGUCAGCUCGUGUCGUGAGAUGUUGGGUUAAGUCCCGCAACGAGCGCAACCCUCGUUCUAUGUUGCCAGCACGUAAUGGUGGGAACUCAUGGGAUACUGCCGGGGUCAACUCGGAGGAAGGUGGGGAUGACGUCAAAUCAUCAUGCCCCUUAUGUCUUGGGCUUCACGCAUGCUACAAUGGCCGGUACAAAGGGCUGCAAUACCGUGAGGUGGAGCGAAUCCCAAAAAGCCGGUCCCAGUUCGGAUUGUAGUCUGCAACUCGACUACAUGAAGUCGGAGUCGCUAGUAAUCGCAGAUCAGC
rnacentral:rRNA from 1 species